AGAGUUUGAUCCUGGCUCAGGAUGAACGCUAGCGGCAGGCUUAAUACAUGCAAGGCGAGGGGGCAGCAAUGUCACCGUCGUACGGGUGCGUAACGCGUAUGCAACCUACCUUCAACUGGGGGAUAGCCCGGGGAAACCCGGAUUAAUACCGCAUAACACAGGGGUACAGCAUUGUACUAUUUGUUAAAGAUUUAUUGGUUGAAGAUGGGCAUGCGUUCGAUUAGCUAGUUGGUGCGGGUAACGGCCCACCAAGGCGACGAUCGAUAGGGGAGCUGAGAGGUUGAUCCCCCACACGGGCACUGAGAUACGGGCCCGACUCCUACGGGAGGCAGCAGUAGGGAAUAUUGGGCAAUGGAUGCAAGUCUGACCCAGCCAUGCCGCGUGCCGGAUGAAGGCCCUCAGGGUUGUAAACGGCUUUUAUUCGGGAAGAAGAGCAGGGAUGCGUCCUUGUGUGACGGUACCGAAUGAAUAAGCACCGGCUAACUCCGUGCCAGCAGCCGCGGUAAUACGGAGGGUGCGAGCGUUGUCCGGAUUUAUUGGGUUUAAAGGGUGCGUAGGUGGCUGUUUAAGUCAGUGGUGAAAUACGGUUGCUCAACAAUCGAGGUGCCAUUGAUACUGAAUAGCUUGAAAUAAUUGGAGGCUGCCGGAAUGGAUGGUGUAGCGGUGAAAUGCAUAGAUAUCAUCCAGAACACCGAUUGCGAAGGCAGGUGGCUACGAUUUGUUUGACACUGAGGCACGAAAGCAUGGGGAGCAAACAGGAUUAGAUACCCUGGUAGUCC
rnacentral:rRNA from 1 species